rnacentral:rRNA from 1 species
GACGAACGCUGGCGGCGUGCUUAACACAUGCAAGUCGAACGGAAAGGCCUCUUUUGGGGGGUACUCGAGUGGCGAACGGGUGAGUAACACGUGAGUAACCUGCCCUUGACUUUGGGAUAACUUCAGGAAACUGGGGCUAAUACCGGAUAGGAGCUCCUGCUGCAUGGUGGGGGUUGGAAAGUUUCGGCGGUUGGGGAUGGACUCGCGGCUUAUCAGCUUGUUGGUGGGGUAGUGGCUUACCAAGGCUUUGACGGGUAGCCGGCCUGAGAGGGUGACCGGCCACAGUGGGACUGAGAUACGGCCCAGACUCCUACGGGAGGCAGCAGUGGGGAAUAUUGCAUAAUGGGUGGAAGCCUGAUGCAGCAACGCCGUGUGCGGGAGGACGGCCUUCGGGUUGUAAACCGCUUUCGCUCAUGACGAAGCUUUGUGUGACGGUAGUGGGUAAAGAAGCACCGGCUAACUACGUG